UACGAAGGUCCCAAGCGUUAUCCGGAUUUAUUGGGUUUAAAGGGUGCGUAGGCGGACUAUUAAGUCAGUGGUGAAAGCCCCCAGCCUAACUGGGGAACUGCCAUUGAUACUGAUGGUCUUGAGUACAUUUGAGGUGGGCGGAAUGUGUCAUGUAGCGGUGAAAUGCUUAGAUAUGACACAGAACACCGAUUGCGAAGGCAGCUCACUAAACUGUAAACUGACGCUGAGGCACGAAAGCGUGGGGAGCAAACAGG
rnacentral:rRNA from 1 species